rnacentral:rRNA from 1 species
CCUACGGGAGGCAGCAGUGGGGAAUUUUGGACAAUGGACGCAAGUCUGAUCCAGCCAUUCCGCGUGCAGGAUGAAGGCCCUCGGGUUGUAAACUGCUUUUGUACGGAACGAAAAGGCCUCUCCUAAUACGAGGGGCUCAUGACGGUACCGUAAGAAUAAGCACCGGCUAACUACGUGCCAGCAGCCGCGGUAAUACGUAGGGUGCAAGCGUUAAUCGGAAUUACUGGGCGUAAAGCGUGCGCAGGCGGUUAUAUAAGACAGAUGUGAAAUCCCCGGGCUCAACCUGGGAACUGCAUUUGUGACUGUAUAGCUAGAGUACGGUAGAGGGGGAUGGAAUUCCGCGUGUAGCAGUGAAAUGCGUAGAUAUGCGGAGGAACACCGAUGGCGAAGGCAAUCCCCUGGACCUGUACUGACGCUCAUGCACGAAAGCGUGGGGAGCAAACAGGAUUAGAUACCCUGGUAGUCCACGCCCUAAACGAUGUCAACUGGUUGUUGGGUCUUAACUGACUCAGUAACGAAGCUAACGCGUGAAGUUGACCGCCUGGGGAGUCGGCCGCAAGGUUGAAACUCAAAUGAAUUGACGG